GCGCCAGACGGUUAGUUGCCCUCGGUCAGUGGUAGAGAGAGGUACUGUACCCCGACGCACGGCUCGACUUGAGUUGAAAGUCUCCGAAAAUCCUUCGCUUUGACUCUUCGAAUGUUGAAUACUACGACGACUGAUAUUCAAUAAUUCGACAUGGAUUGACGAACUUUUAAAGAAAGGGUGCUUCUUUGAAGUCUUCUUCCUUGGUGGUGAUUUUUGCCAGUUUUAAAAUCAUGUUAUCAAGGAUUUGUACGUGUUGGUGAUAUGCAAGUGAAGUGAAGGGAAAACUCGAUAGCGUUGAGAGGACCUGCUGGCUGGAUUGAUUACAAAAGAGUGAAUCCAGUGUUUGAAGAUGGCGAGUUCAACUUUAAGUCUAAUAUAUAGUAAUCGGCCCCAUCGGUUAACUCAGGUCGUAGCCACGAUG